GCCAUCUACCACCCAAAUUAAUUGUCUAUCCAUGCAAAUUCAUUUUCUUUGUAAAAUGGGGAGGAGAAAAUUGGUCUAGACAUUGGAGAUGAGAGUGAAAAAUGGUUUCUAUUUGGAUCUGGUCCCGUAGCUCAGUUGAUAGUGUUGGACGAAGCGCGACGGGCGCUCGACAUGUAUGGGCCUCCUGACAGCACCCGAGCUCUUCAGAGCCUGAGUCUUUGGCACAAGCCUCCAAAUUAUACCAGACACUAGCACAUAUCACAGAGAAUGGCCUACAGGAGAUCGUGGCACUCUUCCCCAUAACAAGAAGAUGAAGAUGAAAUGGAGAUGAUACCAGACUCUCAGACUGUAUUCUGACGCUAGCAUCCAACUGUCAACUUCAGUGGAGGUCUCUGAAGCUUUUAUCCACUAGGUAUCAACAAAAUUCAACCUGAUAUCACCAGUUUUCAAGUGUUGCAAGAGCCGAUCACCAUUCUACAAGUGUCACCAAGAGUCUACCACCAGUUGCCACACAUUACCAAGCUCUCCAACCCCCCCCCCCCCCCAUCCCACAAUGGAUGACCUCGACACCCUACUCGCUGAAGCUGACGCCCUCCUCAGCGACUUACCCUCAACCACUGCUUCCCCCACGCCAGUUCCCGGCCCUAGCCGCACCCAGCGUUGCGUGCGUGUCUUCCUCUCACCCCCUUCCUCCACUCUCGGCAGAAACACAACCUUAGAACCUACCCGAGGUUGUUCAUUCCUCCGCUGUACCGCCUGUGACAUGAAAAUUCUCUCAUUUGACGACAGCACAUGGGGUUCGCAGGCCGAGUACCUCUUCUUCAGGAACCGCCAUCCGGAUGUGACGAGGCUGAGAGAGGGAUUGGAGGAGAGGAAGGGAGCGAGAGCGUACUGCUGCCAGUGUCAGUGGGUUAUGGUGGAGAGAGUGACGGAGCCACCGAGGGUGUGGGUGUGUGGAAAACACUGAGGGUGGAGAGGUGUGGAAUACUUGGAUGAGGACUGGAAACGGCUGAUGACUGAAAGACAGACAGCUUGGGACUGGAAAAGAGUGAGUUGAGGGCUUGAAAACAGUGAGAUGUGGACUAGAAAACAGUGAGCUGAUACCCGAAAAAAGUGAGCUUUUGACUAGAAAAUAGCUGAUAACUGGAAGACAGUGAGCUUGGGAUUGGAAAAGAGUGAGGUGAUGGCUUGAAAACAGUUAGCUUGGAAUGGAACUGGAAAACAGCAGAGGCCUAAAAGACAGCUUUGGAGUGGAAAACAGCUUGGAACUAAAACAGCUGAGUCCUAGAAGAAUGUAGGUACGAAAGACAGUGAGCUUGAGCCCAUGAAGUACUCAUUUAAUGGUGAAAAGACACCAGAAUGAUGUCUGAAAAUCAUUGACAGAGGCAUGGGAAAAACACUUAGUGUGGAUGGAGGACAUUGAAUGAGGUCCUGGAAAUCCCUGGAUGGGACCUAAAGAGUAGUGACUAAUGCUCAUGAUAACAGUGGUAUGACGUGUGUGAUGUCGAAGACCCGGGAAGGACUCGCCAAGGCCACGAAAUAGCCAGAUUUUUGCCAGAAAUCGCUCUGAUAAUUUGUUUCUCAACGAGUAUCAGCUACUGGAAGGAGCCGCACUGACCAAGGCCGCACUGACAUGAAAGUCAGUAGCUUACAACUUUUCAAAACUUAGUGUAAAGCACGUGCUAUUUGUUGCCGGGUACAUUAUCUGAAGACAAGAACGCGUACCUGACGCCUGAUAACUACUGUGCGCCGACCAAGGAGGAAACGAUUUUAGGACUAAAGUACGUAUCGCUAAAGUACGUAGGACAAAACGAUACGUACUUUUGUCCGUAACCCGGAGGAAACUGGCCUAAGCCCAUGGGUGGUUCAACGGCAGGUAGCGACACCAACAGCGGAGAGCAAAA